UUGGUUCCAAAGUGUAAUGAGCAUGGAAAGGAUAAGUUCUUGAAAAUGCUACUUUGCUUGUUGUUCUGAUCAGGCUUAAUGUAAGUAAGCUUAAUGUAAGUAUUCGGCAAUACUAAAGAAGGGAUACAAAACAGCUGCUCCAGAAGGAGGUUGGCUUCCGGAUUAGACUACAGAAAGGACCAUGUACCAUCCAGCUUGAAUAGAUACAUCUACAAAGAUAUAGUACCCAGUUCUACAACUUCAAGGGGAUGGGAACAUACUUCUAUCAGAAGCCUCAAAGAGAAGAGUGAAGUGCAGCCCCUGUGAUGUGAAGUGAUGUGAAAUGACUGUGGCCAAGAUCACACAACUUGGUGAUGGAGCAGAGAAGGUUAUGCCAUCUCCAGAUUCUUCAUCUCAUCCCAUAUCCGCUAAAAGUAAACUUUGCAAACAGAAUAGGUUUACUGUAGUAAGAAACAUUUAGCUGUUUUUGAGGCAGAAAAGUGAAAUAAGAGUCCUUUUCAUUGAAAUGUAUCAGCUGUUAAAUGACUCCCAGAGGAGGCUUGUGAUGUUUUUUGUUCACUCCUCAGCAGUAUCUUGUUACAUGAAAGGAAUACUAAGAAUGACUUGGUGAAUUUUCCUAACCAUUUCCUUUCCAUUGCUUGCUGUAGAAUGAUUCCCAAAAUUUCUAAUUUAGGAAUUAGGAUACAUAUUAGUUUACAUAUUAGUUUACAGAUGGAGUAAGCCAGAUUGUCACAAAAAGGGCAGAAUAAGACAGCUUUCAAUUGCACAUAAGACUGGCCUGUUUCUGCCGUGACUAUUAGGAAACCACUUGAUAGUACUAGUCAUAGAGAAGCUGAAAACUGUUGCUGCACAUCAGAUAGGCAUCACCUGACAUUUUGUUUUCAUUAAUUUUAGUUGCAGAGAGGUAAAAAAUAAAGCUCACCACAUUAGAGAAACGGUUCUGUACCUUGACUGUAACUCACAGAGCAUUCAAGUUCCCAAACAGGAAUACUACUUAAAAGUUUAGACAGCCUUGUAGAAAAUGUGACUGACUUGCAAAGACAUCUAAAAUCAACAGUGCUCAAGUGAAUGGAUUUACCAUGGAUUUAUCUAUCAGUGUAUGUACAUAAAACCAGGACUGUUUCCUUUAAUUUGGGAAAGCUGACAAACAACUUCUAUUGAUUGUGCUCUACAUUCAGCUGUAUGUGCCACCAGUGUACAAACCAGGUGACUUUCACUUAAAUUUAUUUGCAGUGCAGAAGAGUGAGUGAGUAUAAAUAAACAACAUGCAAGGGACAUCUGUAAUUAUCAAAAGAGAAAGAAACACAGAAGAAAAAGAAAGACAUGUUCGAAAUUAUUCUGAUGAACACGCAGGAUAUUGUAAGCAUUCUGUCAGUAUUUCUUUCUAUCACUUGUCCAGAAGAAGUCAGUGCCAAAGCCCUGAAAACAAAUGCAGUCACAGACCUAGUGCUACUAUAGAGGAAAUUAUAGUAACAGUGCAGCUACUGAGCAGCUGACAUUUUAAGAAUUCAGUUUUCUCUUCAGUACAUAUGAUGUUCAUCUAUCUGGACCAGAAAAAAAAAAGGCAAUGAUAAGCUAAGCCAUUGCUUGUAGAUGGCCUGAGAGAAGAGAGAGCAACAAUUUCUCAUCCAUUUCUCAGGUUCUGUGACAUUGUGAGCCUGAGCUGUAUUACAUUUUUGUACACGCCAGCUAUUACAUUUUUUGUACAGGCCAGAUUUUCAAUAAAAACCUCAACACCUUCAAAGGUCUCUCUGUCUUUGAAACACUGGUGUAAGUGGCCAAGUGUCUUUGAAAAAUGUCUGGCCAAAAGCAUUUUACUGGGAAUGGCUGAGACAUGAGCGCAUCUGCCAAUAAGUGCAGAAGCUGUUCUUUUGAAAACUUGUUGUUUUGCAGACCUUUAAGUUCACCUAAAAUUCAUCUAAAAUGGCUAUGGAGAUUACUGAUGCAAGCUAUCUUACAUCUGAUCGAACUAGAGGAGGGGUAGAGCAAACGUGUGAUUCUAUCAGAUAAAAAUAUCCCAUAUGAGACACAAAGAAUGUAUUAUGGCAUCCAGGUUUACCUUUUAUGACCAUAUACCUACUCAGGUCAAGGUAAGAGGAAUAGGGGCUCUGAGUAAGGGCAUAAUCGCUCUCUAGCUCCUAGGUACUUAAUCUGAAAAUUAAAUCCUCUAUCAAUGUACAUUAACAUACAUACUGUGGUUGUGGUCAAUCCAUGCUAGUUUAUCUUAGCUGAAUGACUGGUGUGAAAUUUUUUUAGGACAAUGUGAUUUGCAACGUUUCAACAAGUUUAAUUGGAUCUAAAAUUCCAUUUGUUCAUGCUAUCUGUAACCUUUAAACAAUCAAUGGCUAUACAAUUUGGGUAAUGAGUCUUUAAAAUUAGAAUUAUUGAAAAGGCUUGUAUGUAGUGAUAAACACAGUAAGGUAAUAUUGAUUGGCCAGUGGAAGACAUGGAUUUGAACUAUAAACAGGUAUUAUUCUAAAAGAAGGGUACUACUGCACUUCUUUCAGCCACUCUUUUCCUGAGUCACCUGUAAGCAGAUUGAUGGUAUUUAUUUCUUUAUAAUUCUAAAAGAGUUUUAAUAGCAUGAACAGAUUUAUGGCUGAAGAAACAUGAAAGUCUGAUAAACAUCAUGCAAAAUGAAUUGAAGGCAUAAAUUUCCACAGGUUUUUUGCACUGAAUAGGUUGUGAAUGCUUAUGAUUUACUGAACAAAGAUGCUUACCAUAUAAAUGUCUUUGUUUAUAAUAACUGUGCUUGCAAAUGAGCUUUUUUAAUCUAAAAUAAGUCAGAUAUAUUCUUUUUCAUCUAGAUAUUAUUUUCCCUCCUUACUUCAGCCACACAAGAAAUUUCAUACUGAAAUUUGUGAAGCAUGUACAACAUGUAUGCCUAAACAAAUGAUCUGUGUUGGGAUUAUUCCAAAAGACAGCAGAUUUGAGGAUUACUAGAAGUAUUCCAAUUUCCAUUAGGGCAAUAGAAUAGUAUUCUGUCUAAUCUACAUUUAAUAUAGUGUUAUUAUAUGUAAUGGCACAACAACAUAAAGCUAAGAACCACCCAAACCAGGACUACAGCCACUACAAGUGCUGUUUAAACAUAGAAGACUGUGAUCCUAACAUCAACGGACUUUUAAUCUAAACAGAGGUGACAGAUAAAGACACAGAGUGAAUAAUGUUGCAGCAGAAAAUGGGUUGCUAUAUUCUUUGCCUAACUUUAAUUGGUAGGUAAGCAAUGGAAUGGAAGAAAAGUUACAGCAAGAAGAGGAUUACACAUAAGGGAGGAAGCUAUGAAAAGCGAAUACAUGGAGGGAAAGCUGAACAAACAGCUACUUUGCACAGGUUAAAGAAAAUCCAGUAAAACUUAAGUUCUGUGAAAAGAAGUUCAAAAGUCCCUGACAGACAUAAAAUGGCAAAGUAGUCUUUGCUUUCACUGUUGUCGUUCAUCCCUCUUCUCAUCAGCAUGGAUCUGUAUUGCGAAUUCUGUACUUACUCUGCAUGCAAAUCUCUUAUCGAUGUCAGUGGAAAUGUCAAGCAUGAAAUGUGUUUAGCAUACACAAUAGAACUGUACUGAGAGGAAAAUUUUGCUCCAGUUUUGUGUUCAGUUAUAAGUCUUUAUGCAGCUCUGACCUUAGGAAAACACGUGAGGCUGAAUGCUUGCAAUGAAGUUUGAGUUACAUCUUCUAAGGGGCUGAUUGUCAUCCGAAAGAGACUUUAUACUUGUGUAAUUCUAGUAAAUUCAGUGCAAUUACACCCAAUGGACAUAUUUCUGAGAGGAAGUUUUAGUCCUCACAGUCUGUGGUUUGGCAGACAUGAGAUUUUAAAAAGUUAAAAAAGAGAGAGAGAGAGAGAGAGAGAGAGAAAGAGAGAGAGAACAGGUCCUCUAUUUUUUACUUGUCUCAGUAGGAGCUGGAUACUUCACAAAAUCCAGAAAUUAGAUGUUAAAUAUCUAAACAACAGCUGACCUUUUUGGAAAAUGAGGUUACUUAUUUAACAUACAUGAAACCUAUUGGUUGCUGAUCUGUUUUGAUCUUAGCUCAAAGUUUAAGAAACUACAGUAAUAAUACCUGUCAGCUUUACAUUUUUCCUUCUUUACACAUCCAUUUCUAAAAGAUCAUACAGCUUUUGUAUUUUUUCCCCCUUUGGUGUAUGCUGAAUAUACAUUACUGUAAUGCAGUAUAAUUUCAUUACAAUCCUGCAAAUUUGUAUGUGUCCACAGUAGGACAUUCCAUUCUGUUGCAUUUGUAAAGCAGAAUGAUUUAUUUUUUAAAAGUUCUCCCUCACCUAGGUUUCUGGAAAAUGUAGCGAGUUUGUUUACUGCUGAACUGGUCAGAGGACAUUACUGAUUCCAAGUUUUAAAGUUUGUAUGCAGCAGGACAUUGUAUGGGAGGGGUUGAAGGGUCAAAAAGAAGAUACAGUAAAAAGGAAGAGAGGACAUUACUCUUUUAUGUUGUUUGAUGACAUGAUUUUUCUCAUAGGGCUUAGAAUCUUCAUACAAAACUAUUUCAAGUAGAGCUGCAAACACAAUAGUCUCAGUUUUAUUGUUUAUAUGCACCUACCACCCAUACACAUGCAUCUGUACACAAACAGUGCAAAGGAUGACAUCAAAAAUAAAAGCAGAAAAUUGAAAGAGAUAGUAGGGAAUCUAGAGGACUUGCAUUUUCUUAAUGUGUAUUUUGUGUUUCUAAUUUGAGAGCAUCCUCACACAAAAGAAGUGAGUGCUCUUAAAAAAUCUCACCUAUAUGUGCAGUAUGUGCCAAACAAUAAACAAUGCUAUUUGUGCUCUGGUAGGUAUUGGCAGUAGUUGGGCAUUCUAAAGUGAGACACAAGAUUUCUCUCUUUUAUAAGCAGAAUAAACAACAUAUGCUAGAAACACAGGGGACAAAGAAAUCCUUAGGAUAGGAACUAAAGAUGGCCAAAUACCUCCCAAGAGAAUGAAGAAGAUCCAUCUUUGAUGAAUCACAGUGGUUCACAAGCUUUAAAUAAAACUCUUGAGAGCUGCUUCUCUGUUCACACUGGAGGACACAAAGAGGACUGGGUAGGGCAGGAGGAAAAAUAAAAUGUAGCCAGGAAGUCAGGAUGGGCCAGGGCAGGGGCCUCCCCUGGCACUCGGCACCCAUCUCGCAGCCCCGUGCCUCAGCCUCAGCUCUGUUCCGGUGGCGCCCACCAUCUCGCCAUCCCAAACCGAUCUGGCACCACCUCGCCGCCACCUGGCCCUGACGAAAAAAAGCCCAAUAAUUUCAUUAAUACCUACCAUAAAAAAUCUAUGCUGUUGUUCUUUCGAAACCUGUAGUUUUCAUUGCUUAUGAGUUUUCAAGUAACUUCAGGUUUAUCCUCAAAAAUGCCUCUGAAUUUCCACAUUUGUUGCCUGAAUGCUACCAGAAAUAAUUAUUCCUCUGAACGCUUUCUUCGUAAAUGCCAUUACUAGCAUUUGGCAUUCAUACUUUAUUACUUUCCUGCUUCAAAAGCUUGAGUCAUCCAGUCAGGGACUAGAAGCUAUUCUUGGAGAUGUAGGUGAUCAAUCAUACAUGACUCCAGGAAGCCAAGGCAUACUAACAUCUGAAUCAAAGUAAACUGUUAAUCCUACUAUGUUAUGCACUGACACAGAAAUUUGAAUUUCAGAGACAAAAUCGUAUAUUGCCUUUUGAAUAUUUGCUAAAAUGCUACUCAACAUUCAAGGUUUGGUGUGUUUUAUGAUUGCAGUUUUGCCAUGGAAACCACCUGUUUCCAUGGAACUGCUUGCCAGAAUCCGGUCUUUCAUUUAAAUAAAAAAUGUUGAUAUUUAUUACCCACGGAUAUCUAGAUACCUAGAGACUACAUCUGUGAUUACAUUUUUUUUUUUCUUGAGCAAUACAGAUACAGAUAGCAAGAGAUAGCUCUUCUAUGGCUGGAAAGUCCGUCAUCCAAAAGCUAAUAGCAUAUAAGCCAAUGCAGUGCUCUCUUCAUUCUGCAAACAGCCUGAAACAACGGCUCUGGAAGGUAUAAUGCCACCUAUAUGUGCAGUAUGUGCCAAACAAUAAACAAUGCUAUUUGUGCUCUGGUAGGUAUUGGCAGUAGUUGGGCAUUCUAAAGUGAGACACAAGAUUUCUCUCUUUUAUAAGCAGAAUAAACAACAUGUGCUAGAAACACAGGGGACAAAGAAAUCCUCUUUGAUAUAUUAAUGAUAUAUUAACUGUGAAACAGAAAGAUUUAAUUGAGAAAAGUAUAAACAUUUCACUACUAUGCAGCUAUGAUCACAAAGUCAAAGCGCUAACUCAGACCCUAGUUACUCUCAUGUUACUAGAUGCAGACAAAUUUACCACAGGCUGUUGUCCAAAUGCAAAAAGCUCCAGUUUAAUGGCAAAGAAGAGGGCACUUUAACAGUUUGUACAUGAUUGUGCAGCACAUUAAAAUGUAUGGAAAGCAUUAACUAAGUUGAAAUUAACACAGUUCAAUAACAUAGGAAUGUAAUUUUUAUUUAUUUUUGUACCUAAAAUAAAUCCUUGAGGGUGGGGGUUGUGUUAAUUUGCAAUGCCAACCACUUUUUCUUAUACAGAGGUGCUCCUCAAUAAAUUCGCCUUUAUUUUAAGAAAUACUGAGGACUCAGAAUAGAGUAAAACCGACAGGGAUGAAGAGUUGAGGUUCCUUCUCUCCUUCACACCCCUCUCUCAGUAAAAAUCAUAUAAUGGGGCAAGAAAAGCUUCAGGGAUUCAGCCCUGGCAGGGACACAGAGCCCAGACAUCAGGGUGCUGGGCCUCACAGGACCAGACACAGAGAAGGAAUACUUCAUCUCCAGACCUUGGAUGGACUGGGCAAUGUGAACUAAAGAGAAAUUAUUCUGUCAUAGAUGAAUGUGGACUCAUGGGGAUGGAAGGGUCACUUCAUACAAAAUGUCCUUGACUGCAGCAUGAAUUGAGAGUGUGUAAGAUUAAGACUUAAUGGCUUGUGUUCAGUCUAAAUGAGGCUCAGGCAGCUUCUUGGUUCAUUUGAAAGUCUGAGUUUUACAUUAAUUGGUUGAAACAGUAACUGGGUGUAGGCAGCAGAAUUAAUUUCCCUCCCAUCCUAGCCAAUCUCUUAGUCAGUGGGGCUUGCUUUCCAUUUUUGCAGAAAAGCACAACUCUCAAUAGGAAGAACAAGUAGGAUGUUGACCCAUCACUUCCAAAAAUAUACAGCUUGGUGCUUAAUAUAAUACCCCAGUUGAUGAAAAGUCUUCCAUACCCUUAGUGAGUUUUCCAACCACCCUGCUAUUAUCAUCAGGGCUCUGAUUGCAAAAAUACUUCUUAAUGGCCCUGACCAGCCUCACCUGGGACAUCCAUCCACACCCUCUGCCAUUGCGCCCAGGAGCCCUAUUUCAGCUCAGACCUGGGCCUUUUAUCCCUUUCUAAGCUACCUUGUGAGUGUGUCUGUCUCCAGUCCUGUUUCUGGUCUUGCCUCCUUUUUCUCCCAACUAGACCCCCAGAUGGAUGCUGGCCCUGGUUCAUUGCUUGCUGUGUCUAGGACAGUUGAUGGACUCUGUUACCAGCACCUAGCUGUGCCUGCUGUUUUCAGGUAUUGUGGGGUGAUGUCCUGCUAGUAAGGGCACUGCCUGUGCUGGGGUCACUCUCAGCUUGUCCUCCCCUGUAGAGUAGCUGGCCCUUAUCACUCUGUGGCAAUUGUAGGACAGGUGGUGCAUUUUUUUUUUUUUAAAUCAGAAGUGUCUGGGGCACAGUGCAUGUACCAAACUUGGCACAGGUCACACUGCUGGAGAAAGGGUAGAAAGAGGGUCUUGUUGGGCUAAGGAAUAAAGCACCAAGCUGCUCAGUCUGACAGACACAAUGACAGUCAUCAUGUGUGCUGCCAAAAGGCUAAUGAGAAGUUAAGUUGACUCCACACUCAAAGGGCCCAUUCAAACAGCAUGCUUGGCAUGAGCUUAAGUGCCAAAGCCUCUCCUAAGUCCUGCCGGGGAUCUGUGUCUCUGCCCAGUGGGCUAACAGUAGCAGUCUAUUUGGUGCAGAGCCUAUUUCUCGUUACGUUUCUGUCAUGAUACUGCCUAUUCUACUACAGCCCAAUGCCAGGGUUUGGAGAUGUGCCUCUCCAUAUUUUUACCAGUACUUUCUAAGCAUUUGUUUAGCAGUAGCCAGGAACACUGGUAACCAGCAUUUUAUGUCUCUGACUACCACCUGACUGUCCAACUGCCCCUUAGUCUGCAAGCAGUCUACCCCGGUUUGGUAAUACAAAAAACCAACAUUAAGUAUUGAAGUCUCUCUUCCACAUGGAAAGAGGUCCAUGAGUCCAGAGACUGCUGUCAGCUUUGAAGGAAAACUUGUCCUUGUGGGCAGCCAUAGAGCUGACCUUCACAGGCACAAAAGACUAUGGAUUUUUUAACAUAAUUAACCAUAAUACAGUAGGUACUUUAAAAACAAACAAGCAAAAAAGCACAGUGCAUGCUGCACAUAGAGGAUUUUUUUUUCACUAGCUUCUAUUAGGAAUGCAAAGAUAUCAUUGUGCUUACAAGAAACAUUUCUUCUGUAGUCUUGCCUUUGUGCCACCUUAAGUGCUAAAACCAGGCAUGAGGUAAUUUAACCACAAGUCACUAGAAAAAAACAUAUAAUUGAUUUUCAUUGUAGAAUAGUUUCAAAAUAAAUGUUAUGCCCACAGCUUCAUGGAUGAGACAUUUCAGUGUGAUGGUUUCCAUCUUAAUAGCUUAAUCAAACUAUUUUUAAGUUAUAUGUCAUUUCUUAUUCAUCCAAACUACUUACUGAGUAUAGAAUAGCUGUGCAAGUCAGUAUGGCUUUUGUGUUUCUGGAGGAAGAUGGGAGGCUGGUAUGUAUUUUUUCAGGACAAUUCUUUGCUGUAGAAGUGAAGAGUAUUUUUGAAUUCUACAUAUAGGAUUUAAACUUCAAAGUCUUUUUUGUUCUUUUUUUUCUCUUUGUCCUACAAUAAUGGACUAUUUUGUAUAUCUAUCUGUACAGGAACAAGCUUCAAAGACCACAGGAAAUUAUUUUAGCAGUAUUUCAGAAGGUGGCCUCCAACAGCAAUUUUUAUUACUGCAAAGGAUGCUAUGAAAUAGUUCUUUACUUUGUCUCUGUUCUCAUGUUGAAUUCAGGCUUCUCUCUGUCAGGGGCAUAUUGUAUUACAUUUUUACGUCUUUAUCCUCUAACCUACUCCUCACUGGUCCCCUCCUCUCUCAUAGACUUUGUCAUAAAAGUUGCAAGACUUCGGGAGACAUUUUUCGAACAAAAUUUUAUAGUAUCUACCAUUUUCUAUGAGCUUAAGUUCAUCGUAUCAUGAAGAAUGGAAAAGAUGUGUCAUUAUUAUUUGUACUGAAAGACCUGGAUAACCCAAAUAAGGUCUGAAUGAACUGUGCUAAGUGAAAUGUAUAUCUGUACUACUGAGAUUGUUCACAGAAGUAAAAUUGAGUGUAUGGGAGAUACCUGGUUGGUUGAGGCCUUGGGGGGCGGGGGGAGAAGAGUGUUAUUGUCUUCAUUUGGAAACUGCAACUUGAAAGCCCUGGUUCAGCGAAGUAUUUUAGUACAGGCCUACCUUUAAGCAAUUUAAAGUUGCUUUAAAUUUUGUAAGUGUUAAUGGAAUUAUUCAGUGCCUAGAAUUAGGAAGACAUUCCCAAAUCUAGGAAGUAAAUGGCUUUAUCACAGUCUCAGAGGAAACCUGUUGCAGCAUUAAGAACCGAAUUGCUACUUCCUUACUUUGAGUCUAGUAUUGUGACCUUAAAUUCAUUUCUUUCAGAGGCAUUUGGAUAGCAAAAUCUCGGUCUUUUAACAUACCUUCUGGUUUCUCAGCUCUAAACCUAUAGCAGGUAUAUAGAUUCCAGGAGAAAGAUGCAUUUCUUCUGUUAGGUGCUGUCCUUCAGCAACUGCACUAGCAUUGUUCUAUUUUUCUGCUCCUGACUGGGAGCAAGUGAUUGCACAAAUCUGUUAAAAUAGAUCUAAAGUAAGCAUAAUUAAUAUGGACUGUUUUAAGCAUAUUGAGACAAAGCAGAAGAACCAAGGAACAGCCACAGGAUGUUAUUUUAUUAAAAAGUCUGAAAUAUGCUAGUGAAUAGAGAGAUGAUACAUGUCGAAUUGUAUUUUAGUUUAUCUGGAUGUAGAUACACAUCUUAAUGAUGCCAUUUCAUUUUAACUGAAGGUUUGCUAAAUAAAAUGGUGCUUUAUUGGGUUUGUGCUUUGGGAUUCUUUUUGUUUUAUGACCUGAAAAUAAGAGGCGGAGAGGAACUGAAGAGAACAGAAAGAAGGAGAGAAAAAAAACAAACCAACCCCCCAAACUCUGAUCUCCUGUAAUGUUGCUCUUGGUGAGAGUUAUCCAGAUGAGCCUUAAUGUAUGUACCUCAUGCUAUUGGGGGGGGGGGGGGGGAAGGGAUGGGUAUUUAAUACAAGUUAACCUUUUAACAUGCAUCAGUCCUAGGAAGGUGAAUUUUUCUCUUCUUGAAUGAUCAAUUCACUUAUUCUGGCAAUGUAAAGACCACACCUGAACAGUGCAUUUUCCAAAUGUGAAAGGGCACGUUCUGUGCUGCUUCUUGCUUUGUCAAAGUUUUCACCUGAUAUAUUUUUUUUUUUUUUAGAGAGAAUGCUACUUGCUAUGCCAUGUUGUUGUUUACAAUGGAGCUUACUGUAUAAAUAAUAUAAGUAAAAAUAUAAUAAAAAUUCUGCAAGUGAGCACA